rnacentral:rRNA from 1 species
UGGGGAAUUUUGGACAAUGGGGGAAACCCUGAUCCAGCCAUCCCGCGUGUGCGAUGAAGGCCUUCGGGUUGUAAAGCACUUUUGGCAGGAAAGAAACGUCAUGGGUUAAUACCCCGUGAAACUGACGGUACCUGCAGAAUAAGCACCGGCUAACUACGUGCCAGCAGCCGCUGUAAUACGUAGGGUGCAAGCGUUAAUCGGUAUUACUGGGCGUAGAGCGUGCGCAGGCGGUUCGGAAAGAGAGAUGUGAAAUCCCAGAGCUCAACUUUGGAACUGCAUUUUUAACUACCGGGCUAGAGUGUGUCAGAGGGAGGUGGAAUUCCGCGUGUAGCAGUGAAAUGCGUAGAUAUGCGGAGGAACACAGAUGGCGAAGGCAGCAUACUGGGAUAACACUGACGCUCAUGCACGAAAGAGUGGGGAGCAAACAGG